UUGCACGCUGGCGGCAGGCCUAACACAUGCAAGUCGAGCGGAUCAAGGGAGCUUGCUCCUGGAUUCAGCGGCGGACGGGUGAGUAAUGCCUAGGAAUCUGCCUGGUAGUGGGGGAUAACGUCCGGAAACGGGCGCUAAUACCGCAUACGUCCUGAGGGAGAAAGUGGGGGAUCUUCGGACCUCACGCUAUCAGAUGAGCCUAGGUCGGAUUAGCUAGUUGGUGGGGUAAAGGCCUACCAAGGCGACGAUCCGUAACUGGUCUGAGAGGAUGAUCAGUCACACUGGAACUGAGACACGGUCCAGACUCCUACGGGAGGCAGCAGUGGGGAAUAUUGGACAAUGGGCGAAAGCCUGAUCCAGCCAUGCCGCGUGUGUGAAGAAGGUCUUCGGAUUGUAAAGCACUUUAAGUUGGGAGGAAGGGCAGUAAGUUAAUACCUUGCUGUUUUGACGUUACCAACAGAAUAAGCACCGGCUAACUUCGUG
rnacentral:rRNA from 1 species